rnacentral:rRNA from 1 species
GUGAGGAAUAUUGGUCAAUGGGCGCAAGCCUGAACCAGCCAUGCCGCGUGCAGGAAGACGGUCCUAUGGAUUGUAAACUGCUUUUAUUUGGGAAUAAACUCCGGUACGUGUACCGGCCUGAAGGUACCAAAUGAAUAAGCACCGGCUAACUCCGUGCCAGCAGCCGCGGUAAUACGGAGGGUGCAAGCGUUAUCCGGAAUCAUUGGGUUUAAAGGGUCCGCAGGCGGUCUUAUAAGUCAGUGGUGAAAGCCUACAGCUCAACUGUAGAACUGCCAUUGAUACUGUAGGACUUGAAUUCGAUCGAAGUGGGCGGAAUGUGACAUGUAGCGGUGAAAUGCUUAGAUAUGUCACAGAACACCGAUAGCGAAGGCAGCUCACUAGGUCUGGAUUGACGCUCAGGGACGAAAGCGUGGGGAGCAAACAGGAUUAGAUACCCCGGUAGUCC